UUGAGGACAUGGCCAUGAUGACCCAUCUCAAUGAAGCCUUGUGCUGUAAACCUCAAAGAGCGUUAUGCAGCAUGGAUGAUCUACACCUACUCGGGUUGCUCUGUGCUAC